rnacentral:lncRNA from 11 species
AUGGCGAAAUCUGUUACAAAUCCUGACUGUUUGCACUACUUUCUGAGCGAAAAGAGGAAAAAUGAGCGCAUUGAAUUCAAGCCAAUUCACUUGGAAAGAGAAGGAAGCCCUGCCUUGUCUUUCCAGGGCGUUGGACUACAACUCCCAUCAUGUGCUUUUAGUCCAAACUAUAUCCUGGUUCAAGGAAGAUGCUCAUGGUUUGCAAUUUUCCUCAUUUUGGGAGGAAAAAAAUACUUUAUAGUUGUAGUCCAACCACAUUAAAAAGGGCCCCAAUUGAUUCAGAGGUCGAUUUUUAGUUCCUGAUAUUACAAAUCUUAUGUAUUUCAAUCUGAAAAUAUCUUGGGUUGUUGUGAGUUUUCCGGGCUGUCUGGCCAUGUUCCAGUAGCAUUCUCUCCUGAAGUUUCAUGCUUCUGGAACAAGGCCAUACAGCCCGGAAAACUCACAGCGACCCAUUAAUUUAAUUUAUUUUUAAAAACUCCUAGCUAAAACUGCCCAUUUCCCAAAUUUAAUUUUUAUUGUAAUGUAAUGUAAACUUUUAUUACGGUCAAUGACCAGCUCAUAAUAUUUAUUGAAUUUUUUUAAAUACAGUUUUAGUCCAACCUAUAUCCUGGUUCAAGGAAGAUGCUCAUGAUUUGCAAUUUUCCUCAUUUUUGACGGAAAAAAAUAUGUUUUCGUUGUGAAUUACAACUUCCAACAGGUAGGCCUUUAGCCAGGAAUGCUGGGAGUUGUAGUCCAACCACAUUAAAAAAGGCCCCAAUUGAUUCAGGGGUCGAUUUUUAGUUCCUGAUAUUUUCAAUCUGAAAAUAUCUUGGGUUGCUGUGAGUUUUCCGGGCUGUCUGACCAUGCUCCAGUAGCAUUCUCUCCUGACGUUUCAUGCUCCUGGAACAAGGCCAUACAGCCCGGAAAACUCACAGCAACCCAUUAAUUUAAAUUACUUUUUAAAAACUCCUAGCUAAAACUACCCACUUCCCAAAUUUAAUUUUUAUUGUAAUGUAAUGUAAACUUUUAUUACGGUCAAUGACCAGCUCAUAAUAUUUAUUGAGUUUUUUAAAAAUACAGCUUCAAUCCCUUGAUGGUUUUUCUAGAUGAGGGUGAACUACAAAUCCCAGCAUUCCUUACCGCUGACUGUGGUUCGGAGUCCGAAAUAAAGUGAAGUUUUAUGAACAAGAGAGAGAGAGAGAGGAAAAAUUGCAAAAACCAGGCACGGCUUUCAUGAACCAGGAAUUGAAAAAAAAAAGCUCAUUAUGGGAGUUGUAGUCCUCCGAUGGGACUUAUAGUUCUCUAAUGGAUAUCUGUAUUGGACGUAUAGUUCUCUAAUGGCUCUCUUGGGUAUUAUGGUACUUAAAACCAUUUGCUGGCAUUCCUAACCCAUUAAAAAAAGCAAACACUCCUAUAGAAUAUCUUAUUUUAAAUAUAUAUACUGUAUGUAUACAUAUUAAAACAUCAAAAUAUGUUCUGCUGUUACAUCCCCUCGAACCUGCGUCCUAGAAUAUCCCUCUGUAUAUUUAAGUGCGAAGUGGAGAAUAUUUAUUUCCUGAACAUGUGUGUUUUUUGGGGUGCCGGGAAAGGGAAUUAACUUCUUUUUUAAUGUAAAGACAGCUCUGUAUAAAUAAUAAUAAUAAUAAUAAUAAUAAUAAUAAUAAUAAUAAUAAUAAUAAUAAUUGUUCAAUGCCUUCACAACUCUCCCAGGUUGCUAUCUCUCUCUUUUACGUAGAUGUUCUUCAAUGUACGAAGCAAAAUAAGUCCCUCUUGGUGUGUGGUUUUCCCCUUUUUAUUAUGUGUUAACAGACCUUGCCGUCGUUUUAACUCUUCAUCCUUUCAUCCUGUGCGUCUUUCUCUGUAUGUUUUUUCUUCUGUUCUUGCAUGUGGAAAUAAAAACACACCAUAAGAAUAUUCCAAUAAUAAAAGAAGCGUUAGUUGCAAACUGUCAAAACGGCUCCCGUUCGCCUCUUGGAUAUUGAAAUUUUGUUUAUUUACAUUAUUUAUAUCCUGCCCUUCUUUCUCACCCCAAAGGGGACUCAGGGUGGAUUACAAUGAACACAUAUAUGGCAAACAUUUAGUGCCAACAGACAAACAACAUAUAUAGACAGACACAGAGGCAUUUAACACUUUUCCAGCUUCGCGAUUCCGGCCACAGGGGGAGCUGUUGCUUCACCGUCCACUAGUGGCUGUACUUCCUCAUUCCUUUCCUCGUGUUUUGCUGGUAGUUUUAUGGUGUUGUAAAUUAGUUAAAUUAGCCUCCCUGUAUAAAGCGUACCUAAAUUUCCCUACUUGACAGAUGCAACUGUCUUUCGGGCUGCAUAGGUCAACAGCAAGCCAGGCUAUUUAAUGGUUGGGGGCUUAACCCAACCCGGGCUUUGAACUCAUGACCUCUCGGUCAGUAGUGAUUUAUUGCAGCUGGUUUACUAGCUAGGACUGUUUUGCAAAGGUUUUCCAGCCCAAAAGGUUAUCUUUCUUUGCCUAGAAGCUGGAAGGACAUUGGAAUAAUCAAAGGGAACCCCAAAGGUCAUCCAUCCGGUCCAACUCGAUUUUGUGUAAGAGAGACAAUGUAACCCCUCUGUAAAGAUAGCCAUCCUGCCACUGCUUAAUAAUAAUAAUAAUACAGUAGAGUCUCACUUAUCCAAGCUUCACUUAUCCAAGGUUCUGGAUUAUCCAAGGCAGUCUGCCUUUUAGUAGUCAGUGUUUUUGUAGUCAAUGUUGCCAUGUUUUGGUGCUACAUUUACAAAUACAGUAAUUACUACAUAACGUUACUGUGUAUUGAACUGCUUUUUCUGUCAAUUUGUUGUAUAACAUGAUGUUUUGGUGCUUAAUUUGUAAAAUCAUAAUGUAAUUUUAUGUUUAAUAGGCUUUUUUCUUAAUCCCUCCUUAUUAUCCAAAAUUUUUGGUUUAUCCAAGGUUCUGCCGGCCCGUUUAGCUUGGAUAAGUAAGACUUCACUGUGUUUACACUCCACUUGCCUCAUUUCCAAACCUCUGAGGAUGCUUACCACAGAUAACAGGCAAAAUGUCAGGAAAGAGUGCUACUGGGACAUGGCCAUACAGCCCCAAAAAACUCACAGCAACCCAGCAGAUCCCUUUGUUUACAUCUUCAUUCGAAGAGAGUGGUGGCUUGCAUUGAUGGACGCAGCCCAAUCGAUGAGUACAAAAACCCUGAACCCAUAAUAAGUGAGACUCUACUGUAUUAUAAUAAUAACAAAAAGCAUAUCUGCCUAUUGAACUACUUUUCUGGCCAAA